UGUGCUGCAAGGAUGAAGACCUGCAAUAGACUUCCUUCCCUUCUGGCUUCAUAACAGGAGGAAAACAAAAGCCAAUGAUAUUUAACAGAAAUUGAGAGCAAACUAAAUAUAAUGGAAUAUGAUCUCAAACGUUGAAUUCAUACAGAAAUAAAGUAAUUUGCUUUGGGGGAAGCCAGCUGCCAUGUUGUAAGCAGCCAUAUGAAGAGAUCCAUAUGGUGAGAACUGAGACCUCCAGCUACAGCCACAUGAGGGAGCCUGGAAGUGGAUUCCCCUGCCCUGUCAUAUCUUCAGAUGACUGCAGCCCUGCCCAACACCUUGAGUGCAACCUCAUGAGAGACCUUGAGACAGAACCACCCAAUUAAGUUACUCCCAGGUUCCUGACUCUCAGAAACUGUAUAAGAUUAUAGAUAUUUGUUGUUUUAAGCUGUUAAAGUUUUCAAUUAAUUUGUUAUGUGUCCUAAUACAAAGCAAAAGGUACUAUAGGUUUUUGUUUUGUUUUGCUUUUCUUCUAAUUUUUAAGUGACUUGAGGAUAGGAGCCACAUCUUAUUCAUCUACAGGUUUAGCAGAGUGCCUAAGGACAUAACAGAUCCAAUAACCAUUUUCUGAAUGAAUGAUCCUCUCCUUCCUGUUUUUAUCAUUAAAGUAAAUUCAAU
rnacentral:lncRNA from 1 species